AUUGAACGCUGGCGGCAGGCCUAACAAAUGCAAGUCGAGCGGAGCGGCGGACGGGUGCGUAAUGCCUAGGAAUCUUCCUGGUCGUGGGGGAUAACGUCCGGAAUCGGGCGCUCAUACCGCAUACUAUCAGUUUACCCUUGGGCGGCUUAGCUAGUUGGUGGGGUAAAGGCCUACCAAGGCGACGAUCCGUAACUGGUCUGAGAGGAGGAUCAGUCACACUGGAACUGAGAAACGGUCCAGACUCCUCCGUGAGGCAGCAGUGGGGAAUAUUGGACAAUGGGCGAAAGCCUGAGCCAGCCAGGCGGCGUGUGUGAAGAAGGGCGUCGGAUUGUAAAGCACGUUUAGUUGGGAGGCGUUACCAGCAGAAUAAGCACCGGCUAAAUUCGUGCCAGCAGCCGCGGUAAGUC
rnacentral:rRNA from 1 species